rfam:Aspergillus zonatus CBS 506.65 unplaced genomic scaffold ASPZOscaffold_14, whole genome shotgun sequence.
GGCAAGGUGGCCGAGUGGUUAUGGCGGCAGUCUGUUAGUGUCUGCCCAAUCAAAAAUCCGUAUAUCCCGUUACUAAUAAUCAUACAGUAAGAUCUGCUAUCGAAAGAUGCGUGGGUUCGAACCCCACCCUUGUCA